AAGGCAUGGUGAGGGUACUUUCUAAGCAUCUCCUUGAAUUUCUCUCAACUCUCAUAAAUAGAUUCUCCUUUUAUCUGAGUAAAAGAAGUAAUAUCAUUUUUAAGUUU